rnacentral:rRNA from 1 species
GACGAACGCUGGCGGCGUGCUUAACACAUGCAAGUCGAACGGAAAGGCCCUGCUUGCAGGGUACUCGAGUGGCGAACGGGUGAGUAACACGUGGGUGAUCUGCCCUGCACUUCGGGAUAAGCCUGGGAAACUGGGUCUAAUACCGGAUAGGAGCCAUUUUUAGUGUGAUGGUUGGAAAGUUUUUUCGGUGUAGGAUGAGCUCGCGGCCUAUCAGCUUGUUGGUGGGGUAAUGGCCUACCAAGGCGGCGACGGGUAGCCGGCCUGAGGGGGUGGACGGCCACAUUGGGACUGAGAUACGGCCCAGACUCCUACGGGAGGCAGCAGUGGGGAAUAUUGCACAAUGGGCGCAAGCCGGAUGCAGCGACGCCGCGUGGGGGAUGACGGCCUUCGGGUUGUAAACUCCUUUCGCUAGGGACGAAGCUUUUUGUGACGGUACCUAGAUAAGAAGCACCGGCUAACUACGUG